rnacentral:rRNA from 1 species
UUGCAGUUAAAAAGCUCGUAGUCGGAUUUCAGUGUUCAGUAAGCUGUCAUUUUGUUUCAGUCUUACUUACACUUCUUUGUUGACAAUUUUCAUCGCCUUUAUUGGUGGUGUUUAUUUCGUUGACUCUUUUACUUUGAGAAAAUUAGAGUGUUCAAAGCAGGUCUUCACGCCUGAAUAUUACUCUUGGAAUAAUAACAUAUGACUUUGGUUCUUAUUUGUUGGUGAUUAGGGACCGAAGUAAUGAUUGCCAGGGACGGUUGGGGCCAUUCGUACUGCAAAGCGAGAGGUGAAAUUCUUGGACCUUUGUAUGACGAACUACUGCGAAAGCAUUUGGCUAGGACGUUCCCGUUGAUCAAGAACGAAAGUUGGGAGAUCGAAGACGAUCAGAUACCGUCGUAGUCUCAACCAUAAACUAUGCCAGCUAGGGAUGGGUGGAUGUUUUUCUAACGACUCCAUCCGCACCUUAAGAGAAAUCAAAGCAUUUGGGUUCCGGGGGGAGUAUGGUC